rnacentral:rRNA from 1 species
UUUUCGGAUGGAUUUAAAACAGCUUAGUGGCGGACGGGUGAGUAACGCGUGGGUAACCUGCCUCACACUGGGGGAUAACAGUUAGAAAUAGCUGCUAAUACCGCAUAAGCGCACGGUUCCGCAUGGAACAGUGUGAAAAACUCCGGUGGUGUGAGAUGGACCCGCGUCUGAUUAGCCAGUUGGCGGGGUAACGGCCCACCAAAGCGACGAUCAGUAGCCGGCCUGAGAGGGUGAACGGCCACAUUGGGACUGAGACACGGCCCAAACUCCUACGGGAGGCAGCAGUGGGGAAUAUUGCACAAUGGGGGAAACCCUGAUGCAGCGACGCCGCGUGAGUGAAGAAGUAUUUCGGUAUGUAAAGCUCUAUCAGCAGGGAAGAAAGUGACGGUACCUGAAUAAGAAGCCCCGGCUAACUACGUGCCAGCAGCCGCGGCAAUACGUAGGGGGCAAGCGUUAUCCGGAUUUACUGGGUGUAAAGGGAGCGUAGACGGCAAGGCAAGUCUGAAGUGAAAGCCCGGUGCUUAACGCCGGGACUGCUUUGGAAACUGUUUAGCUGGAGUG